AUGGUCACCACACCUGUUCUGGCGCUGCCGGACUUCGCGCGACCGUUCACGAUCGAGACAGACGCAUGUGACACGGGCGUGGGCACGGUGCUCGCGCAGGACGAACACCCCGUGGCAUACUUCAGCAAGGCAUUGGGUGUGCACAAUCAAAAGCUCUCCACCUAUGAGAAGGAGUUCCUCGCCGUGAUGAUGGACGUUGACAAGUGGCGCCAGUACUUGCAGCGCGGCCCCUUCGACAUCAUCACAGAUCACAAGUCACUCUGCAACCUUGGCGAACAGCACCUGGAGACAGAGCUCUAGCGCAAGGCCAUGGCAAAACUGGUGGGGCUGCAAUUUCGCUUCCAGCACAGAAGGGGACUGGACAACGGCGCCGCCGACGCACUCUCACGCGUGGGCAAGCAGUUUGAGGUGGUCGCGCUCUCCGUGUGCCAGCCAGCCUGGGUGCAGGAGGUGGCCAAUUCCUACGUCACCGACGCCGACGCCCAAGAACGGCUACAACAACAAGCGGUGCACAGUCCGGACGAUCAAGGCUACGAGCUCUACCACGGCAUCAUCCGGCGCCAAGGUCGCCUCUGGAUUGGGGCCAAUUCGGCUCUGCGUACCAAGCUCAUCGCCGUGCUGCAUUGCAGUGCGGUGGGCGGUCACUCCGGCUCCACCGCCACCUACCAGCACGCGCGCAAACACUUCGACUAG
rnacentral:rRNA from 1 species